UUGAUCGCUUAGAGGAAGUAAAAGUCGUAACAAGGUUUCCGUCGGUGAACCAGCGGAAGGAUCAUUGCCGUUCGUAGUUUUUCCAUCGGCUUGCGAGUGGGUUGCGGCUGAGUCGUGCCCAUGUACGCGCAGCUGCGAGCAGAGGUGUCUCUCGAUACGUGCGGACAGCGGCGUUCCGGCUAUCGAGGGGGUCGUGCGCGUCGUCGGGUCGGUGCUCUCGGUCGCAAGAUCGAGGUGUGACCGGCGGGCGCGCACGUCCGGCUCUUCGGUCUCUGGCGAGGCCGUCGACGACUCCGUUAACGGAGUGGGUCCGGAGGUGGGAGUCGAAUCUUGCCGCUCGCUACCGCGGACCAGCAGAACGUGUGUUGGACCUUGCGCGUCUAAACGCGCAAAGGCGAACUGGAGAAAACAACUCCGUGCGGUGGAUCACUUGGCUCCCGGGUCGAUGAAGAACGCAGCAAACUGCGCGUGAUAAUGUGAAUUGCAGGGCACAUUGAUCAUUGACGAUUCGAACGCUAAUUGCGGGCGUGUUGAGGUUAUUCUCAUACGCCCGCGUCCGUCCGAGGGUCGGUUCAGUCAGAGACGGGAACAGCGCUCGCUCCGCAACCGAGCUAAUGUGCUGUUUCCGCGUCUUGCGUCUGCGCAUGGGUGCAGAAAGCCCGUCUCGCCGGAAGGCGUCGGCCAGACGGAAGAAGGGCGCUGCGUUCAGUUAACUAGGUGCUUUCGCGAUGGGUGUGCGAUGCUCGUUUCUAGUUGACGCGCGAACUAUGAGGCGCUAAGAAUCGUUCUGCGACCUCGGAUCGGGCGAGAGUACCCGCCGAACUUAAGCAUAUC
rnacentral:misc_RNA from 1 species